ensembl:lncRNA
CAGAAAUAAAGUUCAGAAAAAUAGCCAUCGAAUCAUUGGGGAAGAAAAAAAGAAAGAAUGUUUGUUUUGCCAGUGAGAUGAUCUCUUUGGGAUUCACAGCCGAUGCGGUGGGACUGUCUUUAUUUCAGAGUAAGGUAGAUGCAAGCGGGUUCACAGCACAUGUGCACUCACUGGCCUCUGCAUUUACUGAAUGUGGCCUCUCUGGAAAGUCUCUUUCACCCUGUAGCACCAGCUUCUCCCUCCCUCUCUCUCUCUCUCUCUCUCCUCUCUCUCUCUCUCUCUCUUAGCACUGGGGAUUGAAUCCAGGGCCUUUGCACUGAGCUACAUCCUUGGCCCUUCUUUUACUUUUGGAGACUGGGUCCAGCUAUGUAGCCCAGGCUGGCCUCAAACUCUCCAGGGCAUGUGCUACCCCGACCAGCAAAUCCUUGCUUUCAGGAGGAUCCAGGAACCCGCAAAAGGCAGCACGGGGCUUCAGAGCACUCUGGGAAAGCAGGAGGAGAUGGUGGCCCAUGGUCCCAGGUGCUGCUCAGCACUAACACUGCAUCCAGACCACAGGCUAGGGCUUGGUGGAGCUGUCGCCAAGUCCCUGUGAGGAGGGUCCUGUUACACGCAUCUCACAGAAGGAGAAACUGAGGCAUGGAGCGGCUCCCUGGCGACCUCCGUCCAGCGGCAGACACCGCAAUGUGCAGAGGGCACACGGAGCACGAGGGCAGAUGAAGCCGUGGGCGGAGAUGCGCCAUCGCCUCAGAGCAGCCACCCGGCAGGGGCUCCGUGGGGAGGGACUCUGUUUACACCUGGAGCCCCACACACCAAGGACCGCGCCUGGCACGUUGUAGCUGCUCAGUCAACGUUUGCUGAGGGAUUGAAUGACCGUCACGGGCUUGUAGACCCUGCAGCUGAGUGAGCAAAAACAACAGGCUCAGUCCUAGAGGGCGGUGCAGGCUCCCCAGGUCGUGUUCACCCAGGCUCACCGGAUGUGAGACCAGCGGGGAGCAGGGACGACCUGCAGGGGACUCAGGGGCGCUGCUCUAUGGUGGCCUGGCCAGGGUCAGAGGGCGCUGGACACGGGGCCUGCAACCCCAGCUAGGCCGUGCUGGCGCCCGGUUAGGCUUUCAUUCCAGAAGGGUGUGAGCUCCGCGGGGCAAAAGCGCCUAUCUGAGCGGCAGGAUAUGGAGAUGUGAUCCGACUGUGUUUCCCGUGUCCUUCCGGGAGGAUGGCCAGGCCCCGGGCUUGCUUGUCUCGGGACUCCGUGCCUCAGGACUGGAUGCAGGGCCUUGAAGAUCCUCAUUCCUGGUUUCUGGCCUCUCUGAGAGAAGGUCAAGCAAUCCGGUGCAGCAACAGCAGCCCUGAACGAAGGCUGCAGGAGAGGAGAGCACAGGACUGAGUCUGUCCCAGGGAAAAUGAGGCCUUGGGCUUCAUGCCCUUGCGAAACCCCAGGGUGGAGCAGAGCCUACGGAACGGGAGUCCCAGCUUUGCAUGGGCCACGUGGAAGGGCUGCAGGCCCUCAGGAACCUGGUCUGUGAGGUCUGGAAACCAACCAUUGGAGUGGCUGUCACCUCUGCACGUGGACCUUUCCAGGGCCUCUGGACAAGCCUUUCACUGGGGACGGGAAUGGUGAGUUCCUCCACCAACCCAGUGAGCUGGGUCUCCAGAGCAGAAUCAGUUUGUUUUUAGAAAAUGUGUGGUGGCGCACACUUGUCAAUCCAGAACUCGGGAGGCUGAGGCAGGAGGAUCACCUGGAGUUUGAGGCCAGCCUGGGCUACAUAGUGAGACCCUGUCUAAAAAAACAAGAAAAAACAAGAGGAAAAAUCACGUGGCAUUUCUUUCAAGCUAGCCUUGUGGCAUGCAGCUGGUACUGGCUGACACAUCACAGUUUUGAGCUAUCACCCUUGGGCCACCGUGGUAGAUAAAGAACAUCCCUUGGAAAGAAUGAACCCUGAAACACCCAGCAGAAAUCAGGAAAUCACUGUCCUAUUUUUGCCUCUGUCACCAACAAGCCUGUGACCUUAAGAAAGUCUCUUCCCCCAUCUGUGCCUCUCAUUUAUUUAUUGGUUAAACAAAGUGACAGGCUCCAAAUUCCUGGUCCACAUUCCUACAAAUUCAGAAUGGGUUUGGGAACUCAAAGAGUACGGAGACCAUAUUCUGGGGGAAGAAUGUUGUUUUAGGGCCUGUUCCAGCCCUGUUCAUUUCCACUUCAAAGCAACUGACUUUUUGGAAAAAGCAGCAUUUCUGGGGGUGCAGAAGGCAGCCGGAUAAAUGUGACAUUAUGGCCAGUACCUGCUUGAGCCGCUUCUCAAGCACUUGUAGUUUCUCUGUUGCAUUUGGGUCCUCAUUGUCCCAAGCCCUUCUUGGAGUUUUAUUUUAAAAAGAAAAGCACCUCUGAGCAAGCCCUUUCCUUCUAAGCGCAUCUUACCAGGCAGCACAGCAUAAACACUGCUGUGUGAGGCUGCGUGUUUAUGUUUUCUCGAGGACUUCCAGAUCAGAUUUGCUGUGUUUACAAGUUGGAGACACUUUUUCUAACCACAGGCAUCACACACUGAAACGUGGGGCCCACACCCCAGCUGGGCUCCCUCUGUUCCCAGUUACCCAGUCCAUGAUGUAGGUGGGGUACUCUGCUUUGCAGACAUAGAUGCAGUCAAGGUGCCGAGUUCUUCCUCUUACUAUUGUGACUCUGAGCCACAGGUCCAGGGCUGGGCACUGCAGAGGGGGCCCUCGAGUGCACUUUGAGGUUUCUCUUAAAUCCCAGGAAUGCCCACAGGCCCUAGGUGCUUCGGAGUUUGUAUUCACCUCUUAGGGCACCCACUGGUGACGCACAAACUUCAAACAUGAAGCCCUUGAAGCAUUUCCUUUUUUGAUUUUGGUUUUGGUCUUUUGAGACAGGGUCUCACUAUGUCCUUCAAACUGGCCUUGAGCUCACUAUGUAGCCCAGGCUGGCCUUGAAUUCCCAGUGAUCCUCCUACCUCAGCCUCCCUCGAGCUGGGAUUACAGGUGUGAGCCAUGAUGCACGGCUUCUUCAGUGAUCAUAGGUGUAUGAGGUUUGAUUUCACCCCGAAUCAUGUGUUCUUGUGCUACCCUGUCUCACAUGGACACAGACCACACACACGUGCACAUGUGCACGCAUGAUACACGUGACUCUUCCUUCCCUCAGGUUUGAUUGCAAAUGCCUUAUUGAAAGCUAUUAAAAUUUUUGUUUUGGAAUUGAACUAAAAUAAUUCAGUAAAAAUAUUUUAUUUUUAAAUACAAAAAACCCCAGGAAGGAUUCAUACAGUUGUAUUUUCACUACCAUUCCUGAAACUCUUAGCCAGGGACCUCUGCAGGUUGUUGGUCUAACAAAGCCUUGACACAGGUCUAGGAGAGUUUUCAGAGUCUUGGCUCCAGUGCUUUUGCUGUGUGACCUCAGGACGGUCACCUCCCCCUCUCUGGGUCACAGCUGCCUCGUGAAAGUGAAGGGCUGGGUCUGGGGGUCUCUGAGGAACCUUUCAGACCUGCAGCUCUUCAUACAGGCAUCACUCACCUUAGUAAAACCCAGCGCCCCGAACAAUUAAUAAAUAAAACCCACCUUCUCCAAAUGCCUUUUGAUUUAUAAGGCAGAGCGAUAAAGGUAAAAACUGCUUGCAUUAUAAAAAAUAAUUUUUAUAAUUAGCUGCUUCGUUGUAGAAGUAAUUUGAUUUACAGGUACCUUUCAAAGUCUCACAUAUGAGUAACUGAUAAAAUUUCAUCUUGCUGGACGCUCCGGAUGUUUCUUUAUCCUCAGCAGCUGACCCUGCCACAUCCAUCACAGCAAGCCCAGGAAACAUCCCCAUAAUGUCCCCCCUGAAACAGCUAAUAGGGGUGCUCAAAUCGAGCCUAAUGUUCACUCUGGUGAGCAGUCACUUUGAGAGCAUGUGUGGCUUCCUCGUUAUCAUUUCAUCUGGGCCAUUAGCCACAUUUGAAAUACAAAUCAUCGUCCGUGUAUGUCGCACCAUCUUUCAGGAGGAAGGGCAGCCCCUCACCUCAGAGCUUUUCACCAUCCCAAGGGACAAGAUGGGAUCACUGUGCAGAACUGGGGCUACAGAGUCAAAGGGCCAUAGAGGUGGACCUUGGGUGGGUCACUUCCCUCUCUGGGCCUUGGGGUCCUCAUCUGUAAAGGGUCUGGGUCGCUGAGAGGGGCCCUGUGGCCUUGCUCUGGACUGCUUGCUUAUGCACCACAAAACUCACAUGUUGAGCUUAACCCUAAAUUUGAUGGUCCCGGCAGUGGCUGUAGUGGGGUAACGCGUGUGUUAGACUAUUCCUGCUGCUAUAACUAAAUACCCAAGAGUCAGCAAUCAACAAAAUUACAUCCUUUUCUUCAGUUCUGGAGGCUUGGAAGUUCAAAGCGUGAAGAUUCUGGAUGUUUUGGCGUCUGAGUGAGGGCUGCAUUCUUCUUCCAAGAUGGCAGCCGUUGCUGUGUCUUCACAUAGCAGAACUUGGAAGAGCAAAAAGGCUUAACUAGUUCCCUCCAGCCUUCUUAGAAGGCAUUAAUCCCUCAUGGGAUUAGAAAACAGAACUCGUCGGGUCUAAUCACUGCCUAAAGGCCCCACCUCUUCAUAUCGAGUUGGGGAUUAAGUUUCAACAUGGAUUUUGAGGGGAUGUAAACAUUCAAGCCACAGCACGGGUCACGAUGGUGGAGACCUCAUGAAUAGGAUUAGUGACCUUUGAAGGGGCUGAGGGGCCAGAGCUCUCUCCUCACACCAUAUGAGGACACAGGGAAAAGAAACCAGAUAAACCAGAAAGUGGGCCCUCACCAGUCACCAGGUCCGCCGGAACCUUCCUUACUCCUAGACUUCCCAGGCCCCCAGAACAGUGAGGAAGAAAUUCCUGUUAAUAAGUCACCAGGGUGUGGCACCUUGCUGUGGAGGCAUGAAGGGACUGAGGCAGGCCUGGUGCCGUUCUACACCCUCUGCAGACACAGGGGAUGAUUCUAGGGAAGCCAUUCCUACCUGCGUUGUGAUGGCUGGCUCACCCCAGUUGAUGAGACCCCACUCCACAUCCUUUGGCCUCAAAGAAAAGGAUGGAGUGAGUGUGGUGUGAGCUCCAGGAGCCUCUCUGUCCUCCUACUACAAGAGCCCCCUGUCUAUGCUGCACAGCGACCUGGUUUCAUACCUAUCUUUUGAGAGUCAGCACCUGCUUAUGGGUAGGUGGGUGGCUGGGUCCCAGGGAAGAGGUGAAAGGACUUAUUUUCUAUUUUAAAAUUUAUUUUAAGACAGGGUCACUCUAUGUUACUCCUGCUCAUCUCCAACUCCUGGGCUCAACUCUCCUCCUGCCUCAGCCUCCUAAGUGGCUGGGACUGAAGGUAUGAGCCACCACGCUGACUGGCUCUCUUGGGCUCUCUCUAAUGAGCUAGGAAGGGGCUUUGCAACUUCUGGAGACAAAAAGUCUUUUUAAAAACUUAAGCAGGUGUAGUGGUGCACAUCUGUAAUCCCAGUGCUUGGGAGGCUGAAGCAGGCAGAUUGCUGCAGUUUGAGGCCAGCCUGGACUACAUAGUGAGACUGAGUCUCACAAAACAAAAGAAGAAGGAGAAGGAAAAGGAGGAGGAGAAGGAGAAGAAGAGGUGGCAGCAGCAGCAGCAUGAUAUAUAGUCUUCAUAUGAAACCCAGUACAUACAAUGGAUAAAAGUGGCAUUCUGCCAGCACACUUUCAUUUUGUGUGCGCACGUUUUUAACACGCAUUGUAAGCUCACCAGGAGAUUGUUUUGUCUGAUGAAGCUUCGCAGCUGUAGACUGUGGGUGACAGUUGCUGGGUCCUCAGCCCUGGCGCUGGAUGAACUUCUGCUCUUUGCUUUGCCAUGCGGCCCGAAUGUCCUCGGAGGGACAGGCUCAGAACCCAGGUGGUGCGGACUCUGUUCUAGGCCUGCCCUAAACCGAGGCACGCACUCCAUGGUGCUGGUUCCCAAUGUGUGCAUAACAUAGGUAUUUUGAAGGGGUAUGCACGUUAUUCCUUGUUUUAAUAGAAGAGAAAUAUUUCAAGCCAAGAGCACAGGCUUAUCUGUAACGUGAGUCGCCUGGGGAGCGCCUAGGCUGUGGACAGGACUCAGGCAGUGCUGUAGGGUACGUGGGGACAUGUUCGGGGCCACAUGGAGGCUGGGGGGCAGGCCAGAGGGGACCCCGAGCCCUAACAUGCAGCCGGCGGUUCUAAAACUUCACCAGACCCUCAGCUUCCUCCCUGGUGGUACCUAUCCCUGUGUGGACGUUACUUUUGUUUUAUUAUUUUUUAACGCUCUUGCCUCUUUUAGGCUGGCUCCAGACCACACCUGGAAGUGUCCUUGGUGCCAGCGUGUCUCAGGGUAUAUCGGGCACUCUGAGGACACAGGGACAAAUAGACCCAGGCCAGCCCUGAUGGCUCUCUGCAGAAAUGGACGCUCCUAGGCCUUUCACCUGGGAGAGGAGCAGCUCACGGUGGUCCUCAAAUAGUAAUUUUCAUAGUGAUUUAGUAUAACUUGGUCUCAAAAAACAAAACAAAACAAAACACCCCCAAACCCCAAAUCAGACAGAACACCUAUUUUUCAACAUCUACUUUCCUCUGAGAUUUUUGGGCAGCAACUCCUUUGUGUAGCUCGGG